GGAGUUUGAUCAUGGCUCAGAGCGAACGCUGGCGGCAGGCCUAACACAUGCAAGUCGAACGGCUCUUCGGAGCAGUGGCGGACGGGUGAGUAACGCGUGGGAACGUGCCCUUUGGUUCGGAACAACACAGGGAAACUUGUGCUAAUACCGGAUGAGCCCUUUUGGGGAAAGAUUUAUCGCCAUUGGAGCGGCCCGCGUUGGAUUAGGUAGUUGGUGGGGUAACGGCCUACCAAGCCUACGAUCCAUAGCUGGUCUGAGAGGAUGAUCAGCCACACUGGGACUGAGACACGGCCCAGACUCCUACGGGAGGCAGCAGUGGGGAAUAUUGGACAAUGGGGGAAACCCUGAUCCAGCAAUGCCGCGUGUGUGAAGAAGGCCUUCGGGUUGUAAAGCACUUUCGAUGGGGAAGAAAAGCUCGGUGUUAAUACCGCCGAGUCUUGACGUUACCUAGAGAAGAAGCACCGGCUAACUCUGUGCCAGCAGCCGCGGUA
rnacentral:rRNA from 1 species